UGGGGAAUCUUCCGCAAUGGACGAAAGUCUGACGGAGCAACGCCGCGUGAGUGAUGACGGCCUUCGGGUUGUAAAGCUCUGUUAAUCGGGACGAAAGGCCUUCUUGCGAAUAGUUAGAAGGAUUGACGGUACCGGAAAUAAAAGCCACGGCUAACUACGUGCCAGCAGCCGCGGUAAUACGUAGGUGGCAAGCGUUGUCCGGAAUUAUUGGGCGUAAAGCGCGCGCAGGCGGAUUGGUCAGUCUGUCUUAAAAGUUCGGGGCUUAACCCCGUGAUGGGAUGGAAACUGCCAAUCUAGAGUAUCGGAAAGGAAAGUGGAAUUCCUAGUGUAGCGGUGAAAUGCGUAAAUAUUAAGAAGAACACCAGUGGCGAAGGCGACUUUCUGGACGAAAACUGACGCUGAGGCGCGAAAGCCAGGGGAGCGAACGGGAUUAGAUACCCCGGUAGUCCUGGCCGUAAACGAUGGGUACUAGGUGUAGGAGGUAUCGACCCCUUCUGUGCCGGAGUUAACGCAAUAAGUACCCCGCCUGGGGAGUACGACCGCAAGGUUG
rnacentral:rRNA from 1 species